CCUGCGCGGAAGAUGUAACGGGGCUAAAUUGGUAACCGAAGCUGCGGAUGCGUGCUUGCACGCAUGGUAGAGGAGCGUUCUGUAAGCCGUUGAAGGUGAACCGAGAGGUUUGCUGGAGGUAUCAGAAGUGCGAAUGCUGACAUGAGUAACGACAAGGGGAGUGAAAAACUCCCCCGCCGGAAGAUCAAGGUUUCCUACGCAACGCUAAUCGGCGUAGGGUGAGUCGGCCCCUAAGGCGAGGGAGAAAUCCGUAGUCGAUGGGAAACAGGUUAAUAUUCCUGUACUUUUUCUUACUGCGAUGGAGGGACGGAGAAGGCUAAAUCAGCACGGCGAUGGUUGUCCGUGUUUAAGGUAGUAGGCUGGAAUCUUAGGUAAAUCCGGGGUUCUAAGGCCGAGAACUGAUGACGAGUCCUCUUUUGGACGAAGUGAUUGAUGCCAUGCUUCCAGGAAAAGCUUCUAAGCUUCAGGUAAGAAAGAACCGUACUGUAAACCGACACAGGUGAUCAGGUAGAGAAUACCAAGGCGCUUGAGAGAACUCGGGUGAAGGAACUAGGCAAAAUGGUACCGUAACUUCGGGAGAAGGUACGCCGGUUUUGGUGAUGAGACUUGCUCUCUAAGCUGAGGCCGGCCGAAGUGACCAGUUGGCUGCGACUGUUUAUUAAAAACACAGCACUCUGCAAACACGAAAGUGGACGUAUAGGGUGUGACGCCUGCCCGGUGCCGGAAGGUUAAUUGAUGGGGUUAUCUUCGGAGAAGCUCUUGAUCGAAGCCCCGGUAAACGGCGGCCGUAACUAUAACGGUCCUAAGGUAGCGAAAUUCCUUGUCGGGUAAGUUCCGACCUGCACGAAUGGCGUAACGAUGGCCACACUGUCUCCACCCGAGACUCAGUGAAAUUGAAAUCGCUGUUAAGAUGCAGUGUACCCGCGGCUAGACGGAAAGACCCCGUGAACCUUUACUAUAGCUUCACACUGGACUUUGACCUUACUUGUGUAGGAUAGGUGGGAGACUUUGAAGCGUGAUCGCUAGAUUGCGUGGAGUCAUCCUUGAAAUACCACCCUGGUAAUGUUGAGGUUCUAACUUGGCUCCUGAAACGGGAGUGAGGACAGUGUGUGGUGGGUAGUUUGACUGGGGCGGUCUCCUCCUAAAGAGUAACGGAGGAGCACGAAGGUACCCUAAGAGCGGUCGGAAAUCGCUCGUUUAGUGUAAUGGCAUAAGGGUGCUUGACUGCGAGAGUGACAACUCGAGCAGGUGCGAAAGCAGGUCAUAGUGAUCCGGUGGUUCUGAAUGGAAGGGCCAUCGCUCAACGGAUAAAAGGUACUCCGGGGAUAACAGGCUGAUA
rnacentral:rRNA from 1 species